rnacentral:rRNA from 1 species
UAAGGAAUUUUGGUCAAUGGACGCAAGUCUGAACCAGCCAUGCCGCGUGAAGGAUGAAGGUCCUCUGGAUUGUAAACUUCUUUUAUCUGGGACGAAAACGGGAUUUUUAUCUCAAUUGACGGUACCAGAGGAAUAAGCACCGGCUAACUCCGUGCCAGCAGCCGCGGUAAUACGGAGGGUGCGAGCGUUAUCCGGAUUUACUGGGUUUAAAGGGUGCGUAGGUGGGCUUAUAAGUCAGUGGUGAAAUCUCCGAGCUUAACUUGGAAACUGCCGUUGAUACUAUAGGUCUUGAAUUAUCUGGAGGUAAGCGGAAUAUGUCAUGUAGCGGUGAAAUGCUUAGAUAUGACAUAGAACACCAAUUGCGAAGGCAGCUUACUACAUAUAAAUUGACGCUGAGGCACGAAAGCGUGGGGAUCAAACA